GUAGCGUAAUCACCUGUCUUUUAAAUAAAGACCUGUAUGAAUGGCAAGACGAGGGUUUUACUGUCUCCUCCCCCCAGUCAAUGAAAUUGAUCUACCCGUGCAGAAGCGGGUAUAAAAACAUAAGACGAGAAGACCCUAUGGAGCUUUAGGCAUAUAUCAAAUAUGUAAAAAACCAAAUUUUUCCAAAUAGGCCUAAAAAAUGAGAAAAACAAGUAUUAAUGAUUAAGUGCCUUCGGUUGGGGCGACCACGGGGAAAAAUAAAACCCCCACAUGGAAUGGGAAAAAUAACCCUAAGCCAAGAAAAACACUUCUAAGCAACAAAAUUUUUGACCAAUAAACGACCCAGGGACACCAUCCCUGAGCAAUGAACCAAGUUACCCUAGGGAUAACAGCGCAAUCCUUUCCCAGAGCCCAUAUCAACGAAAGGGUUUACGACCUCGAUGUUGGAUCAGGGCAUCCUAACGGUGCAGCCG
rnacentral:rRNA from 1 species